rnacentral:rRNA from 1 species
CCUACGGGAGGCAGCAGUGGGGAAUAUUGCACAAUGGGGGAAACCCUGAUGCAGCGACGCCGCGUGAGUGAUGAAGUAUUUCGGUAUGUAAAGCUCUUUCAGUAGGGAAGAAAAUGACGGUACCUGACCAAUAAGCCCCGGCUAACUACGUGCCAGCAGCCGCGGUAAUACGUAGGGGGCAAGCGUUAUCCGGAUUUACUGGGUGUAAAGGGAGCGUAGGCGGCAGGGCAAGUCUGGAGUGAAAGGCGGGGGCUCAACCCCCGGACUGCUCUGGAAACUGGCAGGCUGGAGUGCAGGAGAGGUAAGUGGAAUUCCUAGUGUAGCGGUGAAAUGCGUAGAUAUGAGGAGGAACACCAGUGGCGAAGGCGGCUUACUGGACUGUAACUGACGUUGAGGCUCGAAAGCGUGGGGAGCAAACAGGAUUAGAUACCCCAGUAGUC